GGAGGUCAUUAUAUUGUGUAUGUAAGGGCUAGCAAGAUGAAUGGUCAGGAACAUCAAAGCAAUGACAAGUCUUGGUUUUAUGCAAGCGAUGAGAUAAUCAGAGAAGCAAGUUUGCAGGAAGUUCUUGGUUGCGAGGCCUACAUUCUUUUUUAUGAGAGGGUGGGAGACUAA
rnacentral:rRNA from 1 species